rfam:Triticum aestivum genome assembly, contig: Triticum_aestivum_CS42_TGACv1_scaffold_129335_2BL
GUACUACUCCCUCCGUCCGAAAAUACUUGUGAUCAAAAUGGACAAAAAAAGAUGUAUCUAGAACUAAAAUACAUCUAGAUAAAUCCCCUUUUAUUCAUUUUGAUGACAAGCAUUUCUGGACGGAAUGAGUACUAU